rnacentral:miRNA from 1 species
UACUUUUUGGUCUGAGUGCGUCC